AACGCACAUUGCACCCCCGAGUAUCCUGGGGGGUAUGCCUGUUUGAGUGUCAUUAAUCUCUCAACACGGACAAGGUUUGAAACAUCUUGUGUCGUUGCUUGGAUGAUGAAGGAUUGCUGGCGGACUGUCAGCUCCUUUUAAAUGCAUUAGCAAAGGAACUAUGCAGAACUGGCUCCAGUCUGAUAAAAUGUAAUUAUUUUAAUACUGCUUGCCAGGGAGCAAUCUGUUCCAGCUUCAAAUGGUCUGAUUUAUAAGGACUGUCUCCUUUGAGGCAAAUCACAUCUUGACACUUGACCUCAAAUCAGGUAGGAUUACCCGCUGAACUUAA
rnacentral:misc_RNA from 1 species